rnacentral:rRNA from 1 species
GACAGAAGGUGCAAGCGUUACUCGGAAUUACUGGGCGUAAAGCGUCUGUAGGUGUCUUGUCACGUCUGGGGACAAAUCGCAGGGCUCAACCCUGCGCCCUCCUCGGAUACGAGCAGGAUAGAGUUAUUGAGAGGCAUCUGGAAUGUCGUGUGUAGGGGUAAAAUCCGUAGAUACACGAUGGAACGCCAAAAGCGAAAGCAGGAUGCUAGCAAUAUACUGACACUCAGAGACGAAAGCGUGGGGAGCAAAGGGG